rnacentral:rRNA from 1 species
UAUGUGAUCGUCUCUCGCAUAUCAAUAAGCGGAGGAAAAGAAACUAACAAGGAUUCCCCUAGUAACGGCGAGUGAAGCGGGAAGAGCUCAAAUUUGAAAUCUUAAAGGGUUUCCCUUUACGAAUUGUAGUUUAAAGAAGUGUUUUCUGUUGAGGUUUUGGUAAAAGUUCUUUGGAAUAGGACAUCAUAGAGGGUGAGAAUCCCGUAUUUGACCUUUACUUUCAACUUUGUGAUACACUUUCAAAGAGUCGGAUUGUUUGGGAAUGCAGUCCAAAAUGGGUGGUAAAUUUCAUCUAAAGCUAAAUAUUGGCGAGAGACCGAUAGCGAACAAGUACCGUGAGGGAAAGAUGAAAAGAACUUUGAAAAGAGAGUUAAACAGUACGUGAAAUUGUCAAAAGGGAAGCGUUUGACACCAGUGUUGUUUUUCUGAAAAUCAAUUAAAGAACUGUUUAUGCUAAGCUGUUUAGACUUUAUCAGCUAACUGUUUAGUUUUGAGCUUUUCUUUAAUGCACUUUUCAGUUAACAAGUCAACAUCAAUUUCUUUUGCUGUAAAAAAGCUUGAGGAAGGUGGCUUGAGAUUCGUCUUAAGUGUUUAUAGCCUCUUGCCUAUGCAGUCGGAGAGAUUGAGGUCUGCAGCGUAGAUCCUUCGGGGCUAAAUGCAUUUGUGCUAAGUUAUAGCAUUUUAUAGACAACUUGUUGACUAUGAUUUGUCUUGUAGCUUGCUCGCUUAUGUUAUUUUACCUACGCUUAGGAUGUUGAGUAGCGACAUACGCAC